rnacentral:RNase_P_RNA from 1 species
GAAGUCCGCCAGGCAGCCGCGGCAUCGCAAGAUGGCGAGGAAAGUCCGGGCCCCAUAGAGCAGGAUGCCGGCUAACGGCCGGGCGCCGUGAGGCGACAGACAGUGCAACAGAAAGAUACCGCCGAUGGCUCCGCAAGGAGAUCAGGCAAGGGUGAAAUGGCGGGGUAAGAGCCCACCGCGGACGUGGUGACACGGACGGCACGGCAAACCUCAUCCGGGGCAAGGCCAAAUAGGGGAGCAUUGGCGUGGCUCGCGUCGCUCCCGGGUAGGCUGCUUGAGCCUGUCGGCAACGGCAGGCCUAGAGGAAUGGCUGCCAGGCCGUCGCGUUUCGGCGCGGCGGCCCCACAGAACCCGGCUUAUCGGCGGGCUUCCGAU